rnacentral:rRNA from 1 species
CCUACGGGUGGCAGCAGUGGGGAAUAUUGCACAAUGGGGGAAACCCUGAUGCAGCGACGCCGCGUGAUUGAAGAAGUAAUUCGUUAUGUAAAGCUCUAUCAGCAGGGAAGUAAAUGACGGUACCUGCGUAAGAAGCCCCGUCUAACUACGUGCCAGAAGCCGCGGCAAUACGUAGGAGGCGAGCGUUAUCCGGCUUUACUGGGUGGAAAGGGAGCGUAGACGGUCUGUGAAGUGUGGAGGGAAAGGCGGGGGCUCAAGCCGCGGAUUGCGCGUGAAACUGGACGGCUGGAGUGCAGGCGAGGUAAGGGGAAUUCGUAGUGUAGCGGUGAAAUGCGUAGAUAUUAGGCGGAACCCCAGUUGCGAAGGCGGCUUACUAAACUAUAACUGACGUUGAGGCUCGAAAGCGUGGGGAGCAAACAGGAUUAGAUACCCUAGUAGUC